GAUGAACGCUGGCGGCGUGCUUAACACAUGCAAGUCGAACGGUGAUAGCAAUAUCACAGUGGCGCACGGGUGAGGAACACGUAGCUCAUCUGCCCUCGAGUGUGGGAUAACGGUCCGAAAGGAUUGCUAAUACCGCAUAAGCUCAUGAGUUGUAGAGGCUUGUGAGAAAAGGAGAAGCUCGUAAGAGCCAUUCGCUUGAGGAGGAGGCUGCGGCCCAUCAGGUAGUUGGUGUGGUAACGGCGCACCAAGCCAACGACGGGUAGGGGACCUGAGAGGGUGACCCCCCACACUGGGACUGAGACACGGCCCAGACUCCUACGGGAGGCAGCAGUGAGGAAUAUUGCCCAAUGGACGCAAGUCUGAGGCAGCGACGCCGCGUGGGUGAAGAAGGCCUUCGGGUCGUAAAGCCCUUUUCUGUGUGACGAGAACGGACGGUAGCACAGGAAAAAGUCUCGGCUAACUACGUGCCAGCAGCCGCGGUAAAACGUAGGAGGCAAGCGUUAUCCGGAGUUACUGGGCGUAAAGCGUGCGUAGGCGGGUCGGUAAGUGGGUCGUGAAAGCGCCGGGCUAAACCGGGCGAGGACGAACUAGACUGCCGGUCUAGAGGCGGAUAGAGGGGUGCGGAAUUCCGGGUGUAGCGGUGAAAUGUGUAGAGAUCCGGAGGAACACCAGUGGUGCAAACGGCGCCCUGGGUCCGAACUGACGCUGAGGCACGAAAGCGUGGGGAGCGAACGGGAUUAGAUACCCCGGUAGUCCUAGCCUUAAACGAU
rnacentral:rRNA from 1 species